GACCUAUACAAGAGCUAUGUCCCGCCUAUUUUCCGGUUCGGCCAUGAAGACCGCCAAAACAUGGCGGCGGUGUGUGUUUGUAGUGCGUACGUAAGUAUCCGAUGCGUGUGUAGUGCUGUACUGUAAGUAUGUGAUACCUGAUGUGUCUACACUGAUGUGUCGUAUCUACUGCUAUUUAUAUUAGUAAAACUGCAAAUAUAUAAACGAGAUAAUGCCAAGUACAUGUUGCAUUGUUAAUUGCAAUAAUACGAAUAAAAAAGGAUAUCACUUAUUUAAAUUUGCAGUUUUACUAAUAUAAAUAGUAGUAGACACAUCAGGUGUCACAUACGCACUACCACGCACUACUACAUAUGCAUCGGGUAUUCACAUACACACUACAAACACACACCGCCGCCAUGCUUGGCGGUCUUCAUGGCCGAA
rnacentral:lncRNA from 1 species